rnacentral:rRNA from 2 species
AACGAACGCUGGCGGCAGGCCUAACACAUGCAAGUCGAGCGCCUCGCAAGAGGAGCGGCAGACGGGUGAGUAACGCGUGGGAAACUACCCUUUGGUACGGAACAACUCGGCGAAAGCUGAGCUAAUACCGUAUGUGUCCUUCGGGAGAAAGAUUUAUCGCCAAAGGAUGUGCCCGCGUCGGAUUAGCUAGUUGGUGGGGUAACGGCCCACCAAGGCGACGAUCCGUAGCUGGUCUGAGAGGAUGAUCAGCCACACUGGGACUGAGACACGGCCCAGACUCCUACGGGAGGCAGCAGUGGGGAAUAUUGGACAAUGGGGGCAACCCUGAUCCAGCCAUGCCGCGUGAGUGAUGAAGGCCUUAGGGUUGUAAAGCUCUUUCGCCCGCGAAGAUAAUGACUGUAGCGGGAGAAGAAGCCCCGGCUAACUUCGUG